rnacentral:rRNA from 1 species
GAUGAACGCUAGCGGCAGGCCUAACACAUGCAAGUCGAGGGGUAACUAGAGUGAUAGCAAUAUUACUUUGGCUAGACCGGCGCACGGGUGCGUAACACGUAUGCAACCUACCUUAUAUUGGGGAAUAACUUCGAGAAAUCGGCGCUAAUACCCCAUAACACUGCGGAGAGGCAUCUCUUUGCAGUUAAAGCUCCGGCGGUAUAAGAUGGGCAUGCGUCCAAUUAGCUAGUUGGUGAGGUAACGGCUCACCAAGGCUACGAUUGGUAGGGGUUCUGAGAGGAUGAUCCCCCACACUGGUACUGAGACACGGACCAGACUCCUACGGGAGGCAGCAGUGAGGAAUAUUGCGCAAUGGACGAAAGUCUGACGCAGCCAUGCCGCGUGCAGGGUGACGGCCCUAUGGGUUGUAAACUGCUUUUGUACGGGAAUAAACCCUUCUACGUGUAGGAGGCUGAAGGUACCGUAAGAAUAAGCACCGGCUAACUCCGUGCCAGCCGCCGCAGUAA